rnacentral:rRNA from 1 species
GAUGAACGCUGGCGGCGUGCCUAAUACAUGCAAGUCGAGCGAACAGACGAGGAGCUUGCUCCUCUGACGUUAGCGGCGGACGGGUGAGUAACACGUGGAUAACCUACCUAUAAGACUGGGAUAACUUCGGGAAACCGGAGCUAAUACCGGAUAACAUGUUGAACCGCAUGGUUCAACAGUGAAAGACGGUCUUGCUGUCACUUAUAGAUGGAUCCGCGCCGCAUUAGCUAGUUGGUAAGGUAACGGCUUACCAAGGCAACGAUGCGUAGCCGACCUGAGAGGGUGAUCGGCCACACUGGAACGGAGCCACGGUCCAGACUCCUACGGGAGGCAGCAGUAGGGAAUCUUCCGCAAUGGGCGAAAGCCUGACGGAGCAACGCCGCGUGAGUGAAGAAGGUCUUCGGAUCGUAAAACUCUGUUAUUAGGGAAGAACAAAUGUGUAAGUAACUAUGCACGUCUUGACGGUACCUAAUCAGAAAGCCACGGCUAACUACGUG